AAAAACGAGGUGGCUAUGUGAGAUGGCCUUUAGCGGUCUUUCCAGCCCCACGGUUUUACAGUGUGGAGCGGGGAAAGAAAAACUCCAAGGUCCUUGCUUCAAAGCAACCGUCGGAGCCCCGCCGUGCCGCUCCUCUCCGCCCAGGGUCCGGAUGCCGCCGCCGGCAGGGGCGCAAGGGCCGCAGCACGCGUGCGCAGUGGGCACCAAGAGCGCUGCGUCGACCAAGCCGCGCCCGGCCCUCCGCCACCGCGCCGGCCUCCAAGGCCCUGAGGAAGGCGGCGGAUGCGCUCUGCUGCACUUCCAGGAAGUCCGAACCAAGCUUCGUAUCCACCUGCUGGCUGCACUCAUCACCUUUUUGGUCUAUGCAGGAGGAAGUCUAACAGGAGCUGUAUUUAAUCCAGCUUUGGCACUUUCGCUACAUUUCAUGUGUUUUGACGAAGCAUUCCCUCAGUUUUUUAUAGUAUACUGGCUGGCUCCUUCUUUAGGUAUAUUGUUGAUGAUUUUGAUGUUCAGCUUUUUCCUUCCAUGGCUGCAUAACAACCAUACAAUUAAUAAAAAGGAAUAACUGUUCCAAAGACUCAGACUAACAUACAGGACAGUCCAGCUGGAUGUGAUAAAGAUUUUAUCACCUUAUAUGGAAAACACCGGCUGCACUGGAUUCAUCAGUGUUAACUUCCUUUGAGGAAGCUGCCUUACAGUUUUCAUCACUGGGACUUAAAAAAAAAUUACUGUGAAAAUGAGGUAUUCUGUACUUCUCAGUUAAGACUUGUUCUUUGAGUGAUGUAUUAAAUGCUGCUAGAAAAGCCUCUUUACAUUAAACAUAAAUCAAUCUUAAAUGAUAAUUGUUAACUUUGAUGAAAAACGAGUACAGGAUGAGAAGGGAAGUAAAGGUGAUAGUAAGACCAAAGAAUUUGUGUAUCAAGUGUCACCCAAAUGAACAGAAUUUUUAACUAUAAGUACAACCCAUCAACUUAUAGAACUGGGGAGAGGAUACUUUCAGCCACCACCUCACAUAAUGAUACCAUCAAGCAGUGUCAUCUUUCAACAGGAAAGGUGCUUUUAGAAGUAGAAUAUAUAUUCACUCACAUGCAAGCGAUUUCCUACAUUUUAAGUACAUUAAAAUCUAAUAUCUAAAAUAUUUUCUCUAAAUAGACAAUCUCAUUAGCUCCAGCCAACUGGUUAUUCUUUAAUAGA
rnacentral:sRNA from 1 species